UUCGGCUACCUUGAAUUUUUAACAUGCACGUAAACCAAAGUGCAUGCCUGUGUCUGCAUUUCCCUGCCAUUAGAAACAGCAGCCACGGUCGGCAACUAAAACCGUGUUUUCAAGUUUGGUAGUGCAAGAAUGAAAGCGAUUGAAGCGGGUAAUAUUGUACUAGGUCGAUCUAAUCGUUCAGGAUACACGCAUUAGUAUAGCACGAAUGAUUUUAUGUAAAUAUAAGCUCUGGAAAGUCCUUCUCCGUGGAUUAUUUAGAUGCAACAGGAGCGUCACUAUUCCUAGUAUAUGCAACAGGCUUUAGCACCUCUGUAACGUUAUCCCAUGGCCUGCCUGUCCCCUUCACCAGUCAACCUCUCUGUUUGUACUGUGUAAGUUUAAACUUUUUUUUUCGUAUAGUGUUUGCUGUCAUAGGUUUCUUCAUAAUGUAAUUGUAUACUUUGCAAAUAGUUUAUCAUCUAUGCAGCUUUGCUCAUUUUACUGCCGAAAGUAUUUAUUACUUUCUGUAGGGUGACAAUUGCAUGCAUUUACUUAUGCCUUUCGAUGCGUCUGUACCAUGGUUUAGCCAUAAGAGUGCUGCUGGUGUGCUCUAAUCUUGAAACUGGCGAGUUUUAACAAAUUUGAAGGCUGAUAUCCACUACUACCAUGUUCAGAUAAGCUGUGAUAGCUCCAUGAAAAUGUAUUUAACAUUCUGUAAACUGUGCCAGGUGAAUGUUCUUACGUUCUUUUAUUGUGGUCCGUGUUUUAUGCAAAUGCCACAUA
rnacentral:lncRNA from 1 species